rnacentral:rRNA from 1 species
GACGAACGCUGGCGGCGUGCUUAACACAUGCAAGUCGAACGGAAAGGCCCUGCUUUGGUGGGGUGCUCGAGUGGCGAACGGGUGAGUAACACGUGAGUAACCUGCCCUUGACUUUGGGAUAACUUCAGGAAACUGGGGCUAAUACCGGAUAGGAGCUCCUGCUGCAGGGUGGGGGUUGGAAAGUUUCGGCGGUUGGGGAUGGACUCGCGGCUUAUCAGCUUGUUGGUGGGGUAGUGGCUUACCAAGGCUUUGACGGGUAGCCGGCCUGAGAGGGUGACCGGCCACAUUGGGACUGAGAUACGGCCCAGACUCCUCCGGGAGGCAGCAGUGGGGAAUAUUGCACAAUGGGCGGAAGCCUGAUGCAGCAACGCCGCGUGCGGGAUGACGGCCUUCGGGUUGUAAACCGCUUUCGCCUGUGACGAAGCGUGAGUGACGGUAAUGGGUAAAGAAGCACCGGCUAACUACGUG